rnacentral:rRNA from 1 species
GACGAACCGUACGAACGUUAUUCGGAAUCACUGGGCUUAAAGGGUGCGUAGGCGGCGCGACAAGUUGGGUGUGAAAUCCCGAGGCUCAACCUCGGGUCUGCAGUCGAUACGGGCAAACUAGAGUAUUGCAGGGGAGACUGGAAUUCCUGGUGUAGCGGUGAAAUGCGCAGAUAUCAGGAGGAACACCGGUGGCGAAGGCGGAUCUCUGGGCCAUUACUGACGCUGAGGAGCGAAAGCGUGGGGAGCGAACAGG